rnacentral:rRNA from 1 species
AUACCCGCGGCUAGACGGAAAGCCCCCGUGAACCUUUACUAUAGCUUCGUAUUGGCUUUGGAUAAGUAAUGUGUAGGAUAGGUGGGAGACAUCGAAGCGGCGUCGCCAGGCGUUGUGGAGUCAUUGUUGAAAUACCACCCUUUACUUAUUUGAAUUCUAACGUCUAACGACGAACAGUGCGUGGUGGGUAGUUUGACUGGGGUGGUCGCCUCCAAAAGAGUAACGGAGGCUUCUAAAGGUUCCCUCAACACGGUUGGCAAUCGUGUGUAGAGUGUAAUGGCAUAAGGGAGCUUGACUGAGAGACCUACAAGUCGAUCAGGUACGAAAGUAGAGCAUAGUGAUCCGGUGGUUCCGCAUGGAAGGGCCAUCGCUCAAAGGAUAAAAGGUACUCCGGGGAUAA